AAGGCGUAACGAUUUGGGCACUGUCUCAACAACAGACUCGGUGAAAUUGUAAUUCCGGUGAAGAUGCCGGAUACCUGCGACAGGACGGAAAGACCCCAUGGAGCUUUACUGUAGCUUGACAUUGGGUUUUGGUACUACAUGUACAGGAUAGGUGGGAGGCUUUGAAACCAGGACGCCAGUUUUGGCGGAGCCAUCCUUGGGAU
rnacentral:rRNA from 1 species